AGAGUGAACGCUGGCGGUAGGCCUAACACAUGCAAGUCGAACGGCAGCACAGUGGUAGCAAUACCAUGGGUGGCGAGUGGCGGACGGGUGAGGAAUACAUCGGAAUCUACCUUUUCGUGGGGGAUAACGUAGGGAAACUUACGCUAAUACCGCAUACGCCCUUCGGGGGGAAGCCGGGGAUCGCAAGACCUGGCGCGGAUAGAUGAGCCGAUGUCGGAUUAGCUAGUUGGUGAGGUAAUGGCUCACCAAGGCGACGAUCCGUAGCUGGUCUGAGAGGAUGAUCAGCCACACUGGAACUGAGACACGGUCCAGACUCCUACGGGAGCAGCAGUGGGAAUAUUGGACACGUGGGCGCAAGCCUGAUCCAGCCAUACCGCGUGGGUGAAGAAGGCCUUCGGUGUAAAGCCCUUUUGGUUAGGAAAGAAAAGCAAGUCGGUUAAUACCGGUUGUUCGUGAACGUACCAAAGAAUAAGCAACGGCUAACUCGUAGCCAGCAGCCGACGUAAU
rnacentral:rRNA from 1 species